GUGAGGAAUUUUGGACAAUGGGCGCAAGCCUGAUCCAGCAAUGCCGCGUGCAGGAAGAAGGCCUUCGGGUUGUAAACUGCUUUUGUACGGAACGAAAAGGCUCUGGUUAAUACCUGGGGCUCAUGACGGUACCGUAAGAAUAAGCACCGGCUAACUACGUGCCAGCAGCCGCGGUAAUACGUAGGGUGCAAGCGUUAAUCGGAAUUACUGGGCGUAAAGCGUGCGCAGGCGGUUUUGUAAGACAGACGUGAAAUCCCCGGGCUCAACCUGGGAACUGCAUCUGUGACUGCAUUGCUGGAGUGCGGCAGAGGGGGAUGGAAUUCCGCGUGUAGCAGUGAAAUGCGUAGAUAUGCGGAGGAACACCGAUGGCGAAGGCAAUCCCCUGGGCCUGCACUGACGCUCAUGCACGAAAGCGUGGGGAUCAAACAGGAUUAGAAACCCCAGUAGUCC
rnacentral:rRNA from 1 species